rnacentral:rRNA from 1 species
UACGUAGGGUGCAAGCGUUAAUCGGAAUUACUGGGCGUAAAGCGUGCGCAGGCGGCUUUGCAAGACAGAUGUGAAAUCCCCGGGCUUAACCUGGGAACUGCAUUUGUGACUGCAUGGCUAGAGUGCGGCAGAGGGGGAUGGAAUUCCGCGUGUAGCAGUGAAAUGCGUAGAUAUGCGGAGGAACACCGAUGGCGAAGGCAUCCCCUGGACCUGUACUGACG